CGACCAGGGCUACACACGUGCUACAAUGGCAUAUACAAAGAGAAGCGACCUCGCGAGAGCAAGCGGACCUCAUAAAGUAUGUCGUAGUCCGGAUUGGAGUCUGCAACUCGACUCCAUGAAGUCGGAAUCGCUAGUAAUCGUAGAUCAGAAUGCUACGGUGAAUACGUUCCCGGGCCUUGUACACACCGCCCGUCACACCAUGGGAGUGGGUUGCAAAAGAAGUAGGUAGCUUAACCUUCGGGAGGGCGCUUACCACUUUGUGAUUCAUGCCUGGGGUGAAGUCGUAACAAGGUAACCGUAGGGGAACCUGCGGUUGGAUCACCUCCUUA
rnacentral:rRNA from 1 species